rnacentral:lncRNA from 10 species
CGGGGCCGGGGCUGGGCGGGCGCUGGGCCGUGAACAAUGAGCAGAGGAGGAAACUCCGCCCUGGAGCGCGACGGGCGGGAGGGCCGGCGGCCUCCGCGCCUUGGGGGGCUGUGUGUGCGCGGGGGCCAGGGCGGGGGGCUCCUGCGGUGCAGCCGGGCCCCGUCCACAGGUGUCCCGAACAGGUGUGUCCCCCCGAGUGCUUCUAAGUGGGCCCGGCGGGAUCCCCCAGCACACCGCCGGGGCCCUCGCACUACGAGCAAAUCCGGAGCGGGCGGACCCCCAGCCUUGCGUGGUAACUGAUAACCAUUCACGGCCUCCCGGGCUGCUGCGCGUUCUGCAGCGACCCCGGAGAAGCUCAUCUCCCACCUGCCAAGUGCAAUUCACCUGCCUGUGGGGCCCCCAUCCCGCACGGCUUCUGAGCGGGGUCUCUCUGCAGCUAGGUGUGCAGCGGGCAAGCUGGACUAAUUCACUCCUUCACCUCUCCAAGGCACAGCAUCUGGCCCAGGUUGAGGGCUCAGUAGUUGCAAUAUUGGCAUUCAGUAAUAAGAACAACGUGAAUGCUAUCUGGAGUCCACCAAUCCUUACCGUGUGUGCUAGCACUGAGCUACGUGUUUUACAUGGAUGGGCCCAUUGGAUCUUCACAACAACUCCACGAGCAGAGGGAGGAUGUUGCCUCAUGUUCAUUGCUGACUCCCAGCUCCUAGAAGAAGCUCCACAAAUGUUUGCUGAUUGAAAUAAUGAUGAACACUAAGAUGGUGGAUUCUGCCACAAGUGAUUCUAGGGACCAGGAUGAGCAUCACACUUGGCUGGGAUCCUGGAGGAUAGAGAAUGAGUGAAAGAUUACACAUUGCAAGCUACCUUUAAGAAAGGACCACUUGUUGAGUUUUGGUAUGCAAAGAAGAAUAUCCAGAAUUAUCUGCAACAGCUAUUAAAAUAUUCCUCACUUUCUCAACUACAAAUCUGCAAAGCUGGAUUUUCUUCAGAUACUUCAAUAAAAAGAAUACAUCACAGCAGACUGAAUAUAGAAGCAGAUGAGAAACCAAUUGUCUUUUUUUUUUUGAGACGGAGUUUCGCUCUUGUUGCCCAGGCUGGAGUGCAAUGGCGUAAUCUUGUUUCACUGCAAUCUCCACCCCCGGGUUCAAGCAAUUCUCCUGCCUCAGCCUCCCAAGCAGCUGAGAUCACAGGCGUGCACCACCACAAGUAGCUGAGAUUACAGGCGUGCGCCACCACACCCGG